rnacentral:lncRNA from 1 species
CUACAAUGUACAGUGACGUUGCCUAGAUAUGAUGGCAGAGUUUUCUAAACAAAUGCCGACGUAACUUAUACAAAUCAUCAUGAUAUCAUUUUGCCAGGACCUGAGCCCUAGGACCAUGCCUCAGUACUACCUGGUAUGAGGACUCCUUGCUGUCCACCGUCCACCUGGCCGUGCUGCUGCUCCAGUUUAAACUGUUCUGCCUGCGGCUAUGGAACCCUGACCUGUUCACCGGACGUGCUUGUUGCACCCUCGACAACUACUAUGAUUAUUAUUAUUUGACCAUGCUGGUCAUUUGUGAACAUUUUAACAUUUUAACAUCUUGACCAUGUUCUGUUAUAAUAUCCCCCCUGCACAGCCAGAAGAGGACUGGCCACCCCUCAUAGCCUGGUUCCUCUCUAGGUUUCUUCCUAGGUUUUUUGCCUUUCUAGGGAGUUUUUCCUAUGGAGUUUUUCCUAGCCACCGUGCUUCUUUCACAUGCUUUGCUUGCUGUUUGGGGUUUUAGGCUGGGUUUCUGUACAGCACUUUGAGAUAUCAGCUGAUGUACGAAGGGCUAUAUAAAUAAAUUUGAUUUGAUUUGAAUUAGAGUUAAUGUCUAACCUUAAGAAUUUAGAGUUAAUGCAUGAUCUAAACUGUAACCUUAAAAAUGUGGAGUUAAUGCCUGAACUCAACUUUAGAAUAUUCAAAAUGUGACAUUUGGAACAACUUCUAAUUCUAACGUGAGACUGUGAGAGCUGGUAGGAUCUUUCAUGCUGAAACCCUCAUAUUGGACACAAACAGUAUUUAUUAUAUUUUGGAUAAUGUUUUACAGCUUCGUCAUUGUAGUUCUUUUUUAAAAAUUUUUUAAAAAUUAUUGUAUUAAUUUUAUAUACAAUCCUGAAAGUAAAAAAAAAAAAUCUGGUAGUUAAACGAAAGCUAACUGGACUUGAAACACACACACACGCACACAAGCACCCCUGUCUGCAGUAAAGAUUUGUAGCGGGGGGGGCAGGUCUCCUAUAAGAGAGCUUCCUGCCUACCUGCAGUCAGUCGGUGUUUACUAUGGAGCUGAAUGGUUUAUCAGAGAAGAGCCAGAGAAAUGGGCUGGACAACCAGGCCUUCCACUCUCAGGUAAGGGUACACACAUCCUCAUACUCAACAAACACAAUAGAAGCAUACAAUUCUCUAUAUCCACUCACUGUAGACGUAAAUACUAUUCACUUGCUGACCCUUUCUCUCAUUCAAGAUAAUGUACUACUCUGGUGCUGUGUGUGUGCAAUCCUUGGAUGAGUGUGUGGAUGAUUCAAAUUAGGUUUUUCAUACACUCAUGUUCAAUUGUUUACUCUCUCACUUCGUGUAACACUCCAUUCAGUGCCUGAAAUCAAUUACAUUUCAAAGAGAUACACUCUAAUAGGGAAGAGUGGGGGUUUGUUCUCAAACAAUAGAAGAAAUAGCCUGGGUGCCAGUCUGUUGCUCUCUUAUUUUUAACCUUUAUUUAACUAGGCAAGUCAGUUAACAACAAAUUCUUACUUUCAAUGACAGCCUAGGAACGGUGGGUUAACUGCCUUGUUCAGGGGCAGAACGACAACUAUUUACCUUGGGGAUUCAAUCUUGCAACCUUUCGGUUACUAGUCCAACGCUCUAACCACUAGGUUACCUGCUACCUCUUGCGGAACAACAUUUCCAUAAGGAAUUGACAAGAGAGCAGAAACAGACUAAGCGAGAACAACUUCUGCCUAAAAUAUGUGGGUUCUGAAUGUGGACAGAAGGUGAUGUGCUCUCCCCAUCCAAAGUUACUGGACAUCAUCACGAAAUAUCGAAGAAAAACAGUUAAGUUUUUCUUGAACAGAUUAA